CUACAGAGGGUGCAAGCGUUAAUCGGAAUUACUGGGCGUAAAGCGCGCGUAGGCGGUUUAAUCAGUCGGAUGUGAAAGCCCCGGGCUCAACCUGGGAACUGCAUUCGAUACUGUUAAGCUAGAGUAUGGUAGAGGGAAGUGGAAUUCCAGGUGUAGCGGUGAAAUGCGUAGAUAUCUGGAGGAACAUCAGUGGCGAAGGCGACUUCCUGGACCAAUACUGACGCUGAGGUGCGAAAGCGUGGGGAGCAAACAGGAUUAGAAACCCUUGUAGUCC
rnacentral:rRNA from 1 species